GGCUGAGGCUGUGACUUGUGAAGCUGCCAGGCCUACUGAAUCGAGCUUCCAGGAGAAUGACACUGUGACCGAGUUGGCUAUGCAGC